rnacentral:rRNA from 1 species
GAUGAACGCUAGCUACAGGCUUAACACAUGCAAGUCGAGGGGAAACGACAUCGAAAGCUUGCUUUUGAUGGGCGUCGACCGGCGCACGGGUGAGUAACGCGUAUCCAACCUGCCCACCACUUGGGGAUAACCUUGCGAAAGUAAGACUAAUACCCAAUGAUAUCUCUAGAAGACAUCUGAAAGGGAUUAAAGAUUUAUCGGUGAUGGAUGGGGAUGCGUCUGAUUAGCUUGUUGGCGGGGUAACGGCCCACCAAGGCGACGAUCAGUAGGGGUGCUGGGAGGAAGGUCCCCCACAUUGGAACUGAGACACGGUCCAAACUCCUACGGGAGGCAGCAGGGAGGAAUAUUGGUCAAUGGACGAGAGUCUGAACCAGCCAAGUAGCGUGCAGGAUGACGGCCCUAUGGGUUGUAAACUGCUUUUAUAAGGGAAUAAAGUGAGUCUCGUGAGACUUUUUGCAUGUACCUUAUGAAUAAGGACCGGCUAAUUCCGUGCCAGCCGCCGCAGUAA